GAUUUACCUAAAGUAAUUCCAUCUAUAACAUACGCAAUUGAAGUUGGAGUCAGACAUUUGGAUACUGCGCAUCUCUAUGGCAAUGAGCAUUUAAUUGGACAAGCUCUCUCUAAUGUGUUCAGACGGGGAGUCGUUUCUAGAGAAGAAAUGUUUAUCACGACCAAGCUGGACGGAUCUGUACCAUCCCGAAAGAAGGUGGUACCAUCACUCAAGGAAAAUUUGAGGAGGUUGAGGCUGGAUUACGUUGAUCUCUUUCUCAUUCAUUCGCCAAAUAAUGUGUUUAAUUACUCAAAAUUUGAUAUCUUGGACAUUUGGAAAGGCAUGGAAGAUUGCAAAAGCCUUGGUUUGGCAAGGUCUAUCGGCGUUUCUAACUUUAACAGUUCGCACAUCAACAGGAUGCUUAGAUACUCAAAAAUAAGGCCAGCUGUGAAUCAG